AUCAAAUAAAAAAUUUACUCAUAUAUCCCCAUGAUAUGGUUGGGAGUUUCUACGGUUAACCUUAAAUUAGCCACUAGGAGUGAAUCAAAA
rnacentral:ncRNA from 1 species